UACGUAGGUGACCAGCGUUGUCCGGAUUUACUGGGCGUAAAGAGCGCGCAGGCGGUCGUUCAAGUCGAGUGUGAAAGCCCCCGGCUCAACUGGGGAGGGUCACUCGAUACUGAUCGACUUGAAGGCAGGAGAGGGAAGCGGAAUUCCCGGUGUAGUGGUGAAAUGCGUAGAUAUGCGGAGGAACACCGAUGGCGAAGGCAAUCCCCUGGGCCUGCACUGACGCUCAUGCACGAAAGCGUGGGGAGCAAACAGG
rnacentral:rRNA from 1 species